rnacentral:rRNA from 1 species
AGGUACUCCGGGGAUAACAGGCUGAUACCGCCCAAGAGUUCAUAUCGACGGCGGUGUUUGGCACCUCGAUGUCGGCUCAUCACAUCCUGGGGCUGAAGUAGGUCCCAAGGGUAUGGCUGUUCGCCAUUUAAAGUGGUACGCGAGCUGGGUUUAGAACGUCGUGAGACAGUUCGGUCCCUAUCUGCCGUGGGCGCUGGAGAAUUGAGGGGGGCUGCUCCUAGUACGAGAGGACCGG